CUGUGUUUCAGCCCACGUGGAUGUCUGCAACAGGAAGCUCCUAUCUGACUUUGGAUUAAUUUCAGUAUUGAGGACAGAAACUGAGGCUUCAUUGGGGAGCAGACAUAACAGGGUCUUGGUAUCUGCUGUCCCUAUGAAACACCAUCACCCAGUGCCCCAGUGUUGUGAAGCUGGAUGAUUCUAUCCAUACUGCCAAGAAGCACUAACAGCUGAGAGAAGUGGAUAGAUUUACACACUGUAUAUUUGGUAACAGGUCAAUGGAACAUGUCUAAAAUAGUAAUUUCCUAACUCUCAUUCCAGAGUCCAAUUUUAUCUAAUGGAAACAAGUGGA
rnacentral:lncRNA from 1 species